CCGUCAUCCGUGAAGAACGAGCGAGCGAGCCACUCGUCGACUACAUUUGCCGUGUCUCCGUCGAUAUUUUAGUAAACCAUCAGCGUCAUUUCCAGGUUUAAUUUAAAUAUCCCAUGGGUCGCCUCGUAUCUUUCCGUUGCAAGGAAGAAAAGUUCACACAGGUCGUGAGGAAGCCACGGGUCAGACAAUCGUGGGUCAGCGGAUGUAACGUCGAGAUUACGUUUCCGAAUAACGAGCGAUCACGGACAGUUUUGGUCUUUAGAAGUCGCUCCACAUUAGUCGCAAAUCGAUCACAAACGGAUUGCAAUGCUUAUCGCAAUAGCUAUUCAGUAGUACUUCUGAUUGGCUGCCGCGACAAAUAUUAUGCCAAAAUUCUUACAGAUUUACAGAGACUUUGAAAAGUUUUUUCGUUUAUUAUUAGCUAUCUGAAUCAUAAAACUCAAUUAUAUUAUUGUCUCUACAAUAGUUAAUAAGUAUAUAGUACAUUUUCAUAAACUGUAAUAUUUUGUGAGAUAUUUUUAGUAUAUCAUGACUUAAGGGAAUAGGGGAAAGUAAUGUCAGUUAAAACAAAUAAUUUAUUGGCGAAAUCUUUGAGAGAAUGCAUUAUUAUUUUAAAUUAUUUUAAUACAUUAUUAUUUUAAAAGCCUAA